rnacentral:rRNA from 1 species
CUACGGGAGGCAGCAGUGGGGAAUAUUGGACAAUGGGCGAAAGCCUGAUCCAGCCAUGCCGCGUGGGUGAAGAAGGCCUUAGGGUUGUAAAUCCCUUUCAGCGGGGAAGAUAAUGACGGUACCCGCAGAAGAAGCCCCGGCUAACUCCGUGCCAGCAGCCGCGGUAAUACGGAGGGGGCUAGCGUUGUUCGGAAUUACUGGGCGUAAAGCGCACGUAGGCGGACUGUUUAGUCAGAGGUGAAAUCCCGGGGCUCAACCUCGGAAUUGCCUUUGAUACUGGCAGUCUUGAGUUCGAGAGAGGUGAGUGGAAUUCCGAGUGUAGAGGUGAAAUUCGUAGAUAUUCGGAGGAACACCAGUGGCGAAGGCGGCUCACUGGCUCGAUACUGACGCUGAGGUGCGAAAGCGUGGGGAGCAAACAGGAUUAGAUACCCGUGUAGUCC